GUUUAGCUCUAUAACACUGAUGACUGAUCUCUCUUAUUUUGAGUCUUUUUGUAAUAAUUCUUUUUAUUUAUUUAUUUGACUAUAAAAACUAUAACAUGACUAAUUUGCCCUUUCUAAACUUAACGUUAACCUCUGCCAAUGGAGGAUCCGCCGGCUUCGGUGGCGUAAUGGUGUCUGACCGCACCGCUACCGCCGUCUUCCAAUUUUGAGGAUUUUUUGAGAUCGUUGUCGUCUACAAAGAAGAUAUCGCACAGGAUAGCGACGUCUUUCAUUCUCUGGGGAAUCUCCUUCAGCUUUGAACAAUCAUGGAUACCAAAACCUUUAAUGCGAGGCAUGGAACUUGUGGAUAAAUGCCAUCUUUCUAGCUUCUGAAGACCAUCAAGACGAAGAAAUUCUAGUUGAUAAAAGCUGUUAUUACUGCAGUGUUACUGAAAUGCAUCUGUAUUGGGAAAAUCGAGUUUACAUAUUGAAGUGAUUGGAAGAUGACGUGUCAUGACACGAAGGCUGGUCAAAGAGUGAUGAUUGGCAAAGAGGCAUGAGUUGCAAUAGAUACGAGCAGAAGGUACAAGUAGAGGCACGAGCAAUUAUUCAAAAGACUCAACGCUCGUACCUAUUUAUACUCAAAAAUCAAGGAGAAUGAAUCUGACAACAUAAGAGAGUACAGAUACAAUAUUUAAUAAGCAAUAAAUAUUAAAAACAUUAGAGAAUUUGUAUUAAAUUAUAAUGAUUAUGUAACGUAGUAUUUAAUGCCUUUAAUUGUCUAUAAUGACCUAAUUAUAACAAAGGCAAAACGUAUAUCUUUAAGAUAGCUAUAAAAAGGAGAGAAUAGAUCAUUUGUAAGGACACGAAAGAUCAUCUGAAUAUACUGGUUUACUUUGUUUUCUUCUGUC